rnacentral:rRNA from 1 species
CAUGCCCGGUAUGAUCGCCAGAGAUGGCUUUCUUCCCGCAAGGGGCCGGUGCACAGGUGCUGCAUGGCUGUCGUCAGCUCGUGUCGUGAGAUGUUGGGUUAAGUCCCGCAACGAGCGCAACCCUCGCCCUUAGUUGCCAUCAUUCAGUUGGGCACUCUAGGGGGACUGCCGGUGAUAAGCCGCGAGGAAGGUGGGGAUGACGUCAAGUCCUCAUGGCCCUUACAGGCUGGGCUACACACGUGCUACAAUGGCGGUGACAAUGGGACGCGAAGGGGCGACCCUUAGCAAAUCUCAAAAAACCGUCUCAGUUCGGAUUGCACUCUGCAACUCGAGUGCAUGAAGGUGGAAUCGCUAGUAAUCGCAGAUCAGCACGCUGCGGUGAAUACGUUCCCGGGCCUUGUACACACCGCCCGUCACACCAUGGGAGUUGGCUUUACCCGAAGGCGUUCGCUAACCGCAAGGAGGCAGACGACCACGGUAGGGUCA